CCUACGGGUGGCAGCAGUGAGGAAUAUUGGUCAAUGGACGAGAGUCUGAACCAGCCAAGUAGCGUGAAGGAUGACUGCCCUAUGGGUUGUAAACUUCUUUUAUAUGGGAAUAAAACGUUCCACGUGUGGGAUUUUGUAUGUACCAUAUGAAUAAGGAUCGGCUAACUCCGUGCCAGCAGCCGCGGUAAUACGGAGGAUCCGAGCGUUAUCCGGAUUUAUUGGGUUUAAAGGGAGCGUAGGUGGAUUGUUAAGUCAGUUGUGAAAGUUUGCGGCUCGACCGUAAAAUUGCAGUUGAAACUGGCAGUCUUGAGUACAGUAGAGGUGGGCGGAAUUCGUGGUGUAGCGGUGAAAUGCUUAGAUAUCACGAAGAACUCCGAUUGCGAAGGCAGUUCACUGGACUGCAACUGACACUGAGGCUCGAAAGUGUGGGUAUCAAACAGGAUUAGAUACCCUUGUAGUC
rnacentral:rRNA from 1 species